AUGAAAGCUGCUGCUGAUACCGAUGACAACACGCCCCGCCCUGCAAACAAGCCCGAACAUUCUGUAGCGGCCGAUUCAGAUAUGUUUGUUGAUCUUUCACCAUUGGAUUCUGCCCCGCAAAUCGUUCGUGGUCCGGCCAGUAGGAAUGAGAAGCACCCAAUGGCAUUUACCCCACCGAGCUUCAGCCUUGGCACAAUUCAAGACCAAGCGGUGGUGCAUGAUCCUAUGCCAGUUGCCUUUGCUUUUCCAGGAGGCACGGGUGCAAUGAUGGCGCAGCCAAUGGUCGAGGGCAGGAAGGCUGUCAAGUUUGCGGAGCCAAUUGUGCAAGGCACCCCUGAGGAAAUCUCACCGUCACUUGACGAAGCUUACAGCAAGAUUGAGGAGGCAACAUUGCAGAGGAGGACAUCGCGAUGGCAAGGGCAAUCAAGUUCCAACUUGACUGCAGAGACGGCAACUGGGGAUACCAUCAGAAGCGCGACCCCUGGUUCUGUGAGAUAG
rnacentral:rRNA from 1 species